UGCAGACAGAGACAUGUUCACACUGGCAGCGAUUUGGCAAUGGACACUAAAGAGAUCAUUGUUUUGAUCUAAAAAAGUACUCUGCUCACAUUCAGACUAGCUAAAAACAAACUGAGGCUUCACAAGAAAUUAUAAAACACUGGCGCUGAACUUUAUUUCAGAGUAUAAUGAUUAAGUCUAAACAGAUUUAACAUUCAAAGACAAAAAAACCCCAUAAAACUUUAGUUUGCAUUUUGAAUUUCCAUUUGUGCAGUUGAAGCCUGGAGUAAAGAGAAGUGGUGAGUGAGGGUCAGGGUAGGCUGUCCUGUACCCUGAAUCAUGGAGAUCUCUAAUAAGGCAGAACUAAACCCGUGAUGAUUGGUCUUUGCAACUGAGCACCUGAGCUCUACAAUUUCUACCCCAACUUCACUGCCGUCACUCUCUGCCUGCAGCACUCCCUCUAGAGGCUUUAUUUUCAUGACAGCUCUAAAGCUUCUUCAAAAUUGUUUGUUGGUGCCACAAUGUUACAGUGACACAACAUACAGUACAAUUAAAAAAGAAAAACAUCUAGUAAAACUGUAACUGUAUUCAAUCCUGUCAAGGAUUUAAAUAAUUAUUAAUAUUGAAUAAAACCUAAAAGAUUUGGGAUAAAAAUGUAUCAAAUGUUGGAACUGGAGUAAAUUUCACUGGUACUUGUAUGCAUUGUAAUUGUAAAGCACAUUGUGUUGCCUUCUGUAUAAAAUUUAUAAUAUCAAUAUGUUACAGACAUCAAUAUUGUCGGGACUUUUUGUCAGCAUUUUCAAAGACCAGGAAGACUCCAGGAGCUGAUUGUAGAAUUGCGUUACAGUUGUACUCGGAAGUCGGGAUUUCCGAGCUCCAAGUCGGAAAUUCAUCUGGAACACCCCUUGAAGUCAGCACUUCUGUUUUGUUUUUGUGAAAUUAAAUAAGUUAUAUAUGUCGUACUGCUUAACGUCUAACUGUGAACACGGUGCUAUGGUCUUUGUAAGAGUAAAAUACUGCGUUAUGCGAUGUUUACAACUGGUUUAACUAACAACAACUGACUGUGGCUAACGACAGCUGACAAUUGUAAACAAUGGCUAACAACGGUUAACAGUAGGUGUCCAUCUUGGUUUUCUGACUUGUUUACUGGAACCCAUCAACUCUGGUGUAACCUCAUUCCCAUCUCCGACAUUCAAUGAUAUCUUCACUAUCAUCCCUGAGCUCCUACACCACUAACUGACCCAGCUCACUGUGCCGGGUUCCACCAGUCAGUGGACCACCAACUUCCUGGCCAAUAGGAGGCAACAGGUGAGGCUAGGGGCAUCAUAUCCAGCCUUAGGACCAUCAGCACCGGUGCCCCCCAGGGGUGUGUUCUUUCCACUUUGGUCUUCUCCCUGUACACCAAUGACUGCACCUCAGGGGACCCAUCUGUCAGACUCCUGAAGUUUGCAGACGACACCACCAUCAUCGACCUCGUCCAAGACACUGAUGAGUUUGUAUUCAGCAGGGAGGUGGAUCAGCUGGUCCUCUGGUGCUGUCAGAACCAUCAGAAUUGUGGAGAUGACAGUGAACUUUAGGGGUAGCCCUCCUGUACUCGCUUCCCCUCACAAUCCUCAACAGCACCAUGUCUCCUGGAAUCCACUAUCUACAAGGAUCUGACACGGGACGCCCACAUAGACCGCAUCAGUAAAAAGGCCCAGCAGAGGUUGUACUUCAACCUCAGGAGCUGCUGAUCCAUUUCUACACUGCCAUCAUCCAGUCACAUGUACAUCCAUCAGUCUGGUUUGGGUCUGCCACCAAGCAGGACAGGAACAGACUUAAACAGACAAUCGGGGCUUUAGUGAAGCCCAUGCAGGUAACAUCACUGCAGACCCCUCACAGGCGUUACAGAUCACUGUACUCACAAAGACCAUUUCCUCCCUCAAGCUGUGGCUCUGAUGAACUUCUAACAUUUACAGAGCUACAGAAAGACCACUAUGACUGUAAAUGAUGGUUUAACUGUUUAUCUAAAUAACCUUUUAUAACAAUGUUCACUCAUAACAACUCUCCCACAUAUUCUCACUACAGAAACCAUCCUCUCAUCUGACAUGUUCCUCUGCACACUAUCUAAUAUUUACUGUUAACACUGUAUUCAAAACAACAUAUACCUCAUGUACAUAAUAUAAUGACAUGUACAUAAUUUUCAAUCACUUAUUACUCCACUACUAUUGCCGUUCCAGUCUUGUAUAUAUCAGUUAAAUGUCCCGUACAAGCUCGUACAUAUUUUUUUUAUUUUUCUAACUUUUCAUGUUCAAUGUUUUUACAUAGGGAGCAAAGUUUACUGGAGCCACAUUUGUUGUAUGUGUACUUGGCCAAUAAAGCUGAUUUUGAUUGGCUGAAACUUUAUGGUCUUUUGUCCUCAGAGAGACAAGCAGUGUUUAAUUUUCAGGAGGAAAUAAUGUUCAGUAUUGUUAGUUAAAUGUGGAGAUUUCUCUGUAUUUACUGGUUCACACAUACACAGAGAGGACAAACAGCCUUGUGUCUAUGAUGUGGACGGACUUUCAAAGCUAUGGUGAUUUAACUGUGGGAGAGCAUCAUCUAACAACAUCAACAUGCCCUUAGUCACGCUAGCUUUCAAAUACACUCAAAUAUGCAUUACAUUUUCCCAAUCUCUCUGUCAUGUUAAAUUGUAUCCUCACCCAUUCAUGUAAACCUCCCAGGAUCCCUGGGUUAAUAUAAAAGACUGUCUGUGUGUCUCUUCCCGGGGCUGAAUUCACAAAAUAUUUUAUCUUAUUGCACCACUAGGAGUUCUGCUGUGUGACACACAUACAGAAAGCUGCUGAAAGCAUAUUUUACUGAGGAAUGGAUAGACCUCAAAACUUUGCACAAGUCUCACCUUGUAAAAUGAUGUCCUGACUCACAUAUGUAUGAGCUAUCAUACAGUAAAUGCUGACUAGUGUCUUAUAAAUGGUCAGUUAAGAACAAAGAAUAGAAAAAUAUGUACAUGUUGUGCCAUGUUCUGCAUUCCUCUUUGCCUUUAAAGUCAUGCAAAUAAAUAACAACUCUCUUGGCUUAAAGCACUAAUAUUUAUCCAGGUAAUCUUAUCUAUUUAUUAGUCCCAGACACGAUUUAAUAGAGGUAUGUUGCCUCUUGUGAAAAGGUGUCAUUAUUUUGAACAUAUUCACGACUCCUACUGGCAACUUAAACUGCAGCUGUUCAAAACUCUGGCUUCUUAAUAUAUAAUUAGCUGUAAUGAAGCUCCACUUCACCCAGUUUAUGCCUCAUGUCUUUUACAGCUAAAUAUUUGUGUGAGUAAAAACACAGGAGAGCAUAUAAAACAUUACUCUUGUAGAGUGUACUGCAUGUCUGCUCUGCAGAGCACAGGACUGAUGGGAGUGCAGGAAUCCUCUGGUCCAAUAUGCACUGAUGGAUUGUCUGUUUGACCACAAUAUCUGUGGUGAGAGACCACAUGAGCACACCUCAUCCAUCAUACACAGGCACACACACACACAGACACACACACUCACACAAUCAAAUUCACCUUAUAUCAUCAUUCCAACCCACAUAUUUCCUUUUCCACCUGGGACCAUCACAUCAAGGGGGGAAAAAAAAGAAAAAACAUCUGUCCUUAACUCCUCCUCCACAACAGACACGACCUCUCCUUCUUCACCUCUGCCCCUUUUUACACCCACACACAGCAGGGCAAGGGGAACAGCUCUGCCUCCACCCCUGUGGUCUUGCCAUUGCUUCAUACAAUGUCAGGAGUGUACAGCACUCCAGUGCAAGUGGAGGUGUGCAACCUUGAGCUAUUCACAUCGAGCUGUACUAAUUAACGCAGAGACAGUCAGGACAAUAGUGAGUUUGAACAGAAAGGCCAAAAAGCUUAAUUUAAUUGAUAGGAAAGGUUGUAAACAAGAAAUUAUCCACUGCUUUUAUUAUGAAUGUUAAUGCUGAAUGUUAAUAGAAGCUAAAAUCAUUCAAACAUACCCAGCAGUGAUUGAUUAAAUCAUUUUCUGCCUACAUUCAAGCUGAUGAAUAAGCAAUUUAUUAAUUAAGUUACAUUCAGAGAUGCUCUCUGCUCUUGGGGAAUGUACCAGGCUUGUUGUGAUUUUAGCACUUCUUACAUCUAUCUACCAACCAAAUGCACUGCCUUAUUUUAGCACCAAGUCUAUGUGGACUUAUAGUGAAAGAGCAGCAUAUAAAGGAGAGACAUGAGAAGGUAAUGAUUUAGUGGAAAUCUGGACAAAAGAAAAAUAAUGUCUUUACCAUAUCAUUCCCACUAAGCAUUUUUUGGUCUAAAAGAGGUCUAAUGGAUGUCUAAAUGUAGCCUAGACAACUGGUCUAAAAUCAGGCUACCACAGGUCUAAAAAUGAAAGAUUUUUAGACGUCUAAAUUUAGACCAAGUUUAGACUAAACUUAAAUUUGAACUAUAUCUAUUCUAUGCUGUAUAUUGCUCUACAGCUAUCAUAAUUAUUUCUGUUAAGUACUUGGAGAUCAGUUAUGCAACUCACAGUUGCUUUUUGAAACAAAUAGUUAUCAAAUAACAGGUUAAAGUGCAACGUCUAAAUUCCGUCUCAAAAUAUACAGAAUCUAGACGGUUGAAAUUAGGUCUAAAAAAAUAACUAGACGUCUAAUAGCCGUCUAUUGCUCAGUGGAUUACUUUAUAUAUUGAAAUAUUCUUCUAUUAAAAGCUUAUAUCUGCAUCUAUUUUAAGCACCUCCCUGUCAAAAAAAAUAGUAAAGGGUUUGUCAAAUGCAGUCAGCAGUGCCGUUAAAACAGAUGACCCGAGCCACUGAGCUGUGCUUGGUAAAUGAAAUCCAUUGAUUAAGAACUAAGACUAUACUACAUAUAACCAGGUUAGUUAGCCAGAUAAGCUGACUGAAUAUCAAUAAUAUAAGUGAAUGGAAUUAAAUGAGAAUCAAUUAUGAGGUUUUCCAACCAAGCACAACUAAAAAUAUAAGCAACAUGGAAAUAAGAAUAUAUGUUGGAUUCCUUGUUAUUGUGAUGCCUACAUUUUAGCUACACACAGUGAUUCAGUUAAGAUUCUUACAAGACAAUCAGGCUCUCUGUAAGUUACCAGCCAUUUUAACCAACACAAAGAAAAACAUUUCUCUGUCUUUUAUUAUCUUAUUGUCACAUUUGCUUCACUUCUAAAUGGAUGCUAGAAAUGCUCAAAUGUUACAGCCUAUAUUUCUCCAUGUAAUUUAUGAGCAUUCUCACAUUUGGGUGCUGUUUAACAUGGCAGAAGUCAAACGACUUCCCGCAUUCACAACAUGUAUUAUACAAAGUGAGUGUGAGGUGCAUUGCUCUACUUCACAUCUCCCUGUACUCCCUCGUUCAAAUCAGCAAUUUAGAUAGGAUGUUGGUCUGUUUUCACAGCAGACGCAAGGAGUAAAUUAAAAGCAGUGGCUGACAGAGAACCAUAUGGUAGCACUCUCUGCAAGAGAAAAAACACAGCAAAGAUUAAUUGAUAAUAGCUGGCACUUCCACCACCUCCAACCGGGAUAUUAGUGUGCGUGUGUGUAUGUGUGUGUGAAAGUGUCUGCGUAUAUGCAUGCAGUACAUGUUUGCGUGCAGAUUUCAAACAGCAUGCGUAUACUGAAAGGCCCAGGAGGGGGACCUGUCAGACAAAAUGGUUUGUAUUGUCUGUAGCAUCAACAUGCCUCCAUUUUUAUACUUGCCAUCUUGUAAGAGAUGCUGAAGACUUAAACAAGCAACACAUUACUCAUGCAUGACAGCUUUCAGGGCACUGUUGGGCUCUAUUAUUGGAUGUGGGUUUCUCUGACUGCGGUUGUUUGUCCUUGUUUGUGUCUGUGUGUAGUGUGUAGCCUACAAUCCAUUUAUUGUAAAACUUGGUACUUUCUCUAACAGUUGCUGCUACAGGAGGAAAAAGAUAACAUUAAUACAACUACUGAGUGUGAUAUAAGAGAUUUAACUGGCAGGGUUGUGCAAACAAUUUCACUUGAGACGAUUAAUCGCUAUAUGAAAACAAGGACUAU